GAUGAACGCUGGCGGCGUGCCUAAUACAUGCAAGUCGAGCGAACGGACGAGAAGCUUGCUUCUCUGAUGUUAGCGGCGGACGGGUGAGUAACACGUGGAUAACCUACCUAUAAGACUGGGAUAACUUCGGGAAACCGGAGCUAAUACCGGAUAAUAUUUUGAACCGCAUGGUUCAAAAGUGAAAGACGGUCUUGCUGUCACUUAUAGAUGGAUCCGCGCUGCAUUAGCUAGUUGGUAAGGUAACGGCUUACCAAGGCAACGAUGCAUAGCCGACCUGAGAGGGUGAUCGGCCACACUGGAACUGAGACACGGUCCAGACUCCUACGGGAGGCAGCAGUAGGGAAUCUUCCGCAAUGGGCGAAAGCCUGACGGAGCAACGCCGCGUGAGUGAUGAAGUUCUUCGGAUCGUAAAACUCUGUUAUUAGGGAAGAACAUAUGUGUAAGUAACUGUGCACAUCUUGACGGUACCUAAUCAGAAAGCCACGGCUAACUACGUG
rnacentral:rRNA from 1 species